CCCUUAGAUGUUCUGGGCUGCACACGUGCUACACUGGCAGGUUCAGCGAGCUUCAUGCCCUAAUCUGAAAGGAAUGGGAAAUCUUUUCAAAACCUGCCGUGCUUGGGAUAGAUGUUUGCAAUUAUUCAUCUUCAACGAGGAUUGCCUUGUAAGCGCACGUCAUCAGCGUGCAUUGAAUACGACCCUGUAUUCUGUACACACCGCCCGUCGCUCCUACCGAUUGAAGUUUUCGGUGAGUUGACAGGAGGAUUUUUUUGAAACUGGUUCGCCAGUGGAUUUUAGAUCCAAAUGCCAACGAAUCGAUGGCUUUAGAGGAAGGAGAAGUCGUAACA
rnacentral:rRNA from 1 species